UUAAGCGACUAAGCGUACACGGUGGAUGCCCUGGCAGUCAGAGGCGAUGAAGGGCGUGCUAAUCUGCGAUAAGCGCCGGUAAGGUGAUAUGAACCGUUAUAACCGGCGAUACCCGAAUGGGGAAACCCAGUGUGACUCGUCACACUAUCAUUAACUGAAUCCAUAGGUUAAUGAGGCGAACCGGGGGAACUGAAACAUCUAAGUACCCCGAGGAAAAGAAAUCAACCGAGAUUCCCCCAGUAGCGGCGAGCGAACGGGGAGGAGCCCAGAGCCUGAAUCAGCAUGUGUGUUAGUGGAAGCGUCUGGAAAGGCGCGCGAUACAGGGUGACAGCCCCGUACACAAAAGCGCAUGUGCUGUGAGCUCGAUGAGUAGGGCGGGACACGUGGUAUCCUGUCUGAAUAUGGGGGGACCAUCCUCCAAGGCUAAAUACUCCUGACUGACCGAUAGUGAACCAGUACCGUGAGGGAAAGGCGAAAAGAACCCCGGCGAGGGGAGUGAAAAAGAACCUGAAACCGUGUACGUACAAGCAGUGGGAGCACAGGUUUACCUGUGUGACUGCGUACCUUUUGUAUAAUGGGUCAGCGACUUAUAUUCUGUAGCAAGGUUAACCGAAUAGGGGAGCCGGAGGGAAACCGAGUCUUAACCGGGCGUUAAGUUGCAGGGUAUAGACCCGAAACCCGGUGAUCUAGCCAUGGGCAGGUUGAAGGUUGGGUAACACUAACUGGAGGACCGAACCGACUAAUGUUGAAAAAUUAGCGGAUGACCUGUGGCUGGGGGUGAAAGGCCAAUCAAACCGGGAGAUAGCUGGUUCUCCCCGAAAGCUAUUUAGGUAGCGCCUCGUGAACUCAUCUCCGGGGGUAGAGCACUGUUUCGGCUAGGGGGCCAUCCCGGCUUACCAACCCGAUGCAAACUGCGAAUACCGGAGAAUGUUAUCACGGGAGACACACGGCGGGUGCUAACGUCCGUCGUGAAGAGGGAAACAACCCAGACCGCCAGCUAAGGUCCCAAAGUCAUGGUUAAGUGGGAAACGAUGUGGGAAGGCCCAGACAGCCAGGAUGUUGGCUUAGAAGCAGCCAUCAUUUAAAGAAAGCGUAAUAGCUCACUGGUCGAGUCGGCCUGCGCGGAAGAUGUAACGGGGCUAAACCAUGCACCGAAGCUGCGGCAGCGAACGUAUCACCCAAGACAACUUUGCGGAGUUGACGAUUGACGGAGCGAAGCGACGUCAAAGCGUUCAUUAAAGUCGAGUUGGCUUAGGGAUACGUUCGUUGGGUAGGGGAGCGUUCUGUAAGCCAGUGAAGGUGUGUCGUGAGGCAUGCUGGAGGUAUCAGAAGUGCGAAUGCUGACAUAAGUAACGAUAAAGCGGGUGAAAAGCCCGCUCGCCGGAAGACCAAGGGUUCCUGUCCAACGUUAAUCGGGGCAGGGUGAGUCGACCCCUAAGGCGAGGCCGAAAGGCGUAGUCGAUGGGAAACGGGUUAAUAUUCCCGUACUUGGUGUUACUGCGAAGGGGGGACGGAGAAGGCUAUGUUGGCCGGGCGACGGUUGUCCCGGUUUAAGCGUGUAGGUGUGUGUUCCAGGUAAAUCCGGUUCACUUUAACACUGAGGCGUGACGACGAGGCACUACGGUGCUGAAGCAACAAAUGCCCUGCUUCCAGGAAAAGCCUCUAAGCAUCAGGUAACAUCAAAUCGUACCCCAAACCGACACAGGUGGUCAGGUAGAGAAUACCAAGGCGCUUGAGAGAACUCGGGUGAAGGAACUAGGCAAAAUGGUGCCGUAACUUCGGGAGAAGGCACGCUGACACGUAGGUGAAGUGAUUUACUCAUGGAGCUGAAGUCAGUCGAAGAUACCAGCUGGCUGCAACUGUUUAUUAAAAACACAGCACUGUGCAAACACGAAAGUGGACGUAUACGGUGUGACGCCUGCCCGGUGCCGGAAGGUUAAUUGAUGGGGUCAGCGCAAGCGAAGCUCCUGAUCGAAGCCCCGGUAAACGGCGGCCGUAACUAUAACGGUCCUAAGGUAGCGAAAUUCCUUGUCGGGUAAGUUCCGACCUGCACGAAUGGCGUAAUGAUGGCCAGGCUGUCUCCACCCGAGACUCAGUGAAAUUGAACUCGCUGUGAAGAUGCAGUGUACCCGCGGCAAGACGGAAAGACCCCGUGAACCUUUACUAUAGCUUGACACUGAACAUUGAGCCUUGAUGUGUAGGAUAGGUGGGAGGCUUUGAAGUGUGGACGCCAGUCUGCAUGGAGCCGACCUUGAAAUACCACCCUUUAAUGUUUGAUGUUCUAACGUGGACCCGUAAUCCGGGUUGCGGACAGUGUCUGGUGGGUAGUUUGACUGGGGCGGUCUCCUCCUAAAGAGUAACGGAGGAGCACGAAGGUUGGCUAAUCCUGGUCGGACAUCAGGAGGUUAGUGCAAUGGCAUAAGCCAGCUUGACUGCGAGCGUGACGGCGCGAGCAGGUGCGAAAGCAGGUCAUAGUGAUCCGGUGGUUCUGAAUGGAAGGGCCAUCGCUCAACGGAUAAAAGGUACUCCGGGGAUAACAGGCUGAUACCGCCCAAGAGUUCAUAUCGACGGCGGUGUUUGGCACCUCGAUGUCGGCUCAUCACAUCCUGGGGCUGAAGUAGGUCCCAAGGGUAUGGCUGUUCGCCAUUUAAAGUGGUACGCGAGCUGGGUUUAGAACGUCGUGAGACAGUUCGGUCCCUAUCUGCCGUGGGCGCUGGAGAACUGAGGGGGGCUGCUCCUAGUACGAGAGGACCGGAGUGGACGCAUCACUGGUGUUCGGGUUGUCAUGCCAAUGGCACUGCCCGGUAGCUAAAUGCGGAAGAGAUAAGUGCUGAAAGCAUCUAAGCACGAAACUUGCCCCGAGAUGAGUUCUCCCUGAGACUUAGAGUCUCCUGAAGGAACGUUGAAGACGACGACGUUGAUAGGCCGGGUGUGUAAGCGCAGCGAUGCGUUGAGCUAACCGGUACUAAUGAACCGUGAGGCUUAACCUU
rnacentral:rRNA from 1 species